rnacentral:rRNA from 1 species
CCUACGGGAGGCAGCAGUGGGGAAUAUUGCACAAUGGGGGAAACCCUGAUGCAGCGACGCCGCGUGAGUGAAGAAGUAAUUCGUUAUGUAAAGCUCUAUCAGCAGGGAAGAAAAUGACGGUACCUGAGUAAGAAGCCCCGGCUAACUACGUGACAGCAGCCGCGGUAAUCCGUAGGGGGCCAGCGGUAUCCGGAUUUACUGGGUGUAAAGGGAGCGUAGACGGCAGUGCAAGUAUGGAGUGAAAGGCGGGGGCUCAACCCCCGGACUGCUCUGGAAACUGUACGGCUGGAGUGCAGGAGAGGUAAGUGGAAUUCCUAGUGUAGCGGUGAAAUGCGUAGAUAUUAGGAGGAACACCAGUGGCGAAGGCGGCUUACUGGACUGUAACUGACGUUGAGGCUCGAAAGCGUGGGGAGCAAACAGGAUUAGAUACCCGGGUAGUC